GGGCAAUAUGCCAGCUAGUUUUGGGUCCAAGUAGUAUUACACUCCAUACUGGACAUCAGCCUUAGACAUUUAGACAACUAUGGAAGCCAGACUGCCAGAAGAAAACCUUUGCGUGGACAGGAAAACAUGCAGACUCCAGGCACUCGGAUCAGAGCAGAGAUUCAAACUCAGAACCUAAGAAGAAUGCGGAAGGUGGAAGUCAACAGCUAAUAGUCACGCAUUAUCACAGAAUGGGGAUGUGUGACUGUGCGAAGUCAUGGAGUGAACCUAGCAAUUCCCCCAUGGUGGAGGAAGUAAAUGAGCC